GCAAUUAAGUUGGGGAUACCAAAAUGGGACAGAAAUUACCAAGACUUGAAUACAAAAGCAAGAAAUGGACCUUUAUGGAUUGGGAAACUAUUCCUUUCAAACCAUGAGUUGUAGCAAAUUUCUUCAGAGCUUUUCCAACCAAAUAUAAUAUCAAACUAUGACAUAUAUUUCCAAACAAAAUAUAAUGAAUUCACUGUACCUAAUCUAAAGUAUACCAACAGAAAUCAAUUCUCAUAAAGAAAAACACAAAUCUGCUAGGGGUUGAAUUGACCAAAUGCUUAGUUCUGAAACUUAUGCAAUAUUAAAAGAAGAUGGUUUAUGCAAACUUAUUGUUUUGUGCUUAAUUAACAAUUACAUGCGAGAAUAACGAAAUCGGAAAUCAAGCAAAUCUUCAAAGCUAAGCAGUGACCCAAUCAUUUAAUCAUUUACGAGAAGCAUAAUACAAAGAAGUUUCAAACUAAUCUAGGUGAACAAAGAAAAACUUGAAUGAAUCGAUUAAAGGCAGAAGCCAACACCACACGGAGCUCAACAAAUUCAGAAGAAGUAAAAAUAGCGAAAUCGAGCAGCGACGGGAAAUUAAAUCCACCUCUCAGCUUUUGAACGAUCCUUACGGGUCCAUCAAGCUAUGUUGCAAGAGGUGUAUAAAUCGGAUGAGGGAGUGAGAAAAUCCAGUAGAGGGAUUGGGCGUUUUUGGGUUGAAGGAGGUCUAAGGAUCUGAUGGGUCGUUGCUUGUUGCUUAAGGGUCAACAAUGAAAAUGGCUCUUGAAGAAGAAAGAGAACGAGGGAAGGAAGUCGGAAAAAAUUUCAGCUCUGCGGCGCUCAUCUAUUCUUUUUGUUUUAGUCCCAAGAUAUAUUCUCUUAUUCUUUAGGUCCAGGUAUUUUUAUAGGCCUAAAUCUAUAUUUUAAUUGCAAGAAUAUGUGUUUUGGACUGAUGGGUUCAAAUAUAU
rnacentral:lncRNA from 1 species